AUUGAACGCUGGCGGCAUGCUUUACACAUGCCAGUCGAACGGUAACAGGCCGCAAGGUGCUGACGAGUGGCGGACGGGUGAGUAAUGCAUCGGAACGUGCCCAGUCGUGGGGGAUAACUACUCGAAAGAGUAGCUAAUACCGCAUACGAUCUAUGGAUGAAAGCGGGGGACCGUAAGGCCUCGCGCGAUUGGAGCGGCCGAUGUCAGAUUAGGUAGUUGGUGGGGUAAAGGCUCGCCAAGCCAACGAUCUGUAGCUGGUCUGAGAGGACGACCAGCCACACUGGGACUGAGACACGGCCCAGACUCCUACGGGAGGCAGCAGUGGGGAAUUUUGGACAAUGGGCGCAAGCCUGAUCCAGCAAUGCCGCGUGCAGGAAGAAGGCCUUCGGGUUGUAAACUGCUUUUGUACGGAACGAAACGGCUCUGGUUAAUACCCGGGGCUAAUGACGGUACCGUAAGAAUAAGCACCGGCUAACUACGUG
rnacentral:rRNA from 1 species